GGAGCAGACUUUCAUCAUGAUCAAGCCUGAUGGUGUCCAACGUGGCCUGGUUGGUGAGAUUAUCAGCAGAUUUGAGAAGAAAGGAUUCUCUUUGAAAGGCUUGAAGCUCAUUACUGUGGACCGUGCCUUUGCUGAGAAGCAUUACGCAGACUUGUCGGCGAAGCCUUUCUUUAAUGGGCUUGUUGAGUAUAUUGUUUCUGGACCUGUUGUUGCUAUGGUCUGGGAGGGUAAGGGUGUAGUUGCCACUGGCAGGAAGAUCAUUGGAGCAACCAACCCCUUGGAGUCUGCUGCUGGAACUAUCCGUGGUGAUUUUGCUAUUGACAUUGGCAGGAAUGUCAUCCAUGGAAGUGAUGCUGUUGAGAGUGCUAGGAAGGAGAUCGCUCUUUGGUUCCCUGAAGGAAUCGCGGAGUGGCAGAGCAGCCUUCACUCUUGGAUCUAUGAAUAGAAGAGUUUUAUGAAUUUAGAACUCUCUUUAUGCUGUUAGCCUGUUUGGUUUUAACUUAUGAAUUUUGUAUGUCAUUUGAAUCUAGAAGUUUGGUAUUUGAGAUUUAAUGAUGUUCCUUAUUUCUAGCAUAUUUUAUAUGUGAUAUUUGAUCUUAUGUGUGUGCUGUUUCAAGCUAGUAAAUUUUAAGCAUGUUUGCUUCACUUGUUUCUCUAUUUUUGUAAAAGAAAA
rnacentral:misc_RNA from 1 species